rnacentral:rRNA from 1 species
UACGAAGGGAGCUAGCGUUGUUCGGAAUCACUGGGCGUAAAGCGCACGUAGGCGGAUGUGUCAGUCAGGGGUGAAAUCCCGGAGCUCAACUUCGGAACUGCCUUUGAUACAGCACGUCUUGAGUCCGAUAGAGGUGGGUGGAAUUCCUAGUGUAGAGGUGAAAUUCGUAGAUAUUAGGAAGAACACCGGUGGCGAAGGCGGCCCACUGGAUCGGUACUGACGCUGAGGUGCGAAAGUGUGGGGAGCAAACAGG